GUGCUCACUUCAGCAGCACAUAUACUAAAAUUGGAAUGGUAUAGAGAAGAUUAGCAUGGCCCCUGUGCAAGUAUGACAUGCAAAUUCAUGAAGCAUUCUGUAUUUUU